CACAACACAGCAUACUAUUAAUACUGGGUUAUAUAAAUAUUCUUUCACAAUCAAUAAGCCGUAGAAGCUACAAAUCAUAUUAAUACAAAUUACAUAAACAGCUUAGCUGUAGACCGUGAUACACGCGCGUCGACGAGCCUCCGAGGCAAGAAAAUAUGCUAUUAUGCUGACAACAUACAAAGUGUUACAAAGACAGCUUCGUCAUAACGGGGAGCGCUUGGGGUACCUUCUUUCUCGCAACAGACCUGCUUUGUAACCACACGCCAGCUUUUCAAAUCCAUAAAAAGGUCAUGUCAAUCCAGACCACUUGAAGUGGCCGAUGCAUCGGCAGGUGCAUCAGCACCGUGAGCGAUGUGUUCGUAUGGUAACCGAGCGGAGAAGAGGCAAGUGAGAGAUGCAAGAUGUCGGGUCGGCCAUGCGGCCGACCUGUCACCGUCUCUCGGAGGCAAACGCCGGGACGGUGGAGCAUCCAAACGAGCUGUGCACGAAGAUCGCGCACGCGGACCGGCUCGUGGACAACCAUGAUAAUCCGCGAUGACAGGAGUGAUUCCGCGGAGGGAUGGAGGGAAGGCGAGAGAGAGAGAGAGAGAAAGCGAGAAAGAGAGAGGGACAAUAUAACCUCACCUCGUCAACGGCGUCGACGUCCUUGCCGUUCUUCGUCUUCUCCUUGCCGCUCUUCGCCGUCUCCUAGAACAGAAGCAAGCUGAUGAGAAGACGUACGUACGUUUUGCAUGGCGGAAUAUUGGCGAGUAAUAGCAGAGAGGAACCUCUCUGAUAAUAGCAAUUGGAUUCACCGAGACCGGACGGUUCUCAUAAUUCUUUGUUUGGAAGAUUUCCCAGGCGCUUAAUUGUAUCAUACAUAAAAUCGGAUAAUUUCACGUUAGUUACUUUGACUGACACAAGUAAAGAAGAGGACGUGAACAUAAUGGCCUGGUUAAUGAAUAAGAGACUAGCGUUAAUUGAUAUGAUAAAACGAUAUUAUGUACAAUUAUUAAUAAUUAUAUCAUUAUUAAUAAUAAAUGUUACUAUGUAUUUCGAAUUACAUUACUUAUAAUAUAAUUCUAAUGUAAUUUCAAAUCUAAU